rnacentral:rRNA from 1 species
UACGUAGGGGGCAAGCGUUGUCCGGAUUCAUUGGGCGUAAAGAGCGUGUAGGCGGCCAGGUAGGUCGGUUGUGAAAACUGGAGGCUCAACCUUCAGAGGUCGACCGAAACCAUCUGGCUAGAGUCCGGGAGAGGGAUGUGGAAUUCCAGGUGUAGCGGUGAAAUGCGCAGAUAUCAGGAAGAACACCAAUGGCGAAAGCAGCUCUCUGGGACGGUACUGACGCUGAGACGCGAAAAGCGUGGGGGAGCGAACAGG